UACGAAGGGGGCUAGCGUUGCUCGGAAUCACUGGGCGUAAAGCGCACGUAGGCGGAUUGUUAAGUCAGGGGUGAAAUCCUGGAGCUCAACUCCAGAACUGCCUUUGAUACUGGCGAUCUUGAGUCCGGGAGAGGUGAGUGGAACUGCGAGUGUAGAGGUGAAAUUCGUAGAUAUUCGCAAGAACACCAGUGGCGAAGGCGGCUCUCUGGACAGGUACUGACGCUGAGACGCGAAAGCGUGGGUAGCAAACAGG
rnacentral:rRNA from 1 species